rnacentral:rRNA from 1 species
AGCAGCCGCGGUAAUUCCAGCUCCAAUAGCGUAUAUUAAAGUUGUUGCAGUUAAAAAGCUCGUAGUUGAAUUUCGGGAUCGACGGGUCGGUCGCGCCUCUGGUGUGUACUGGCCCUGUCGGUUUCUCCCUUCUGACGAACCCACGAUGUCAUUAAUUUGGUGUCGUGGGAAAUCAGGACUGUUACUUUGAAAAAAUUAGAGUGUUUAAAGCAGGCAUUCGCUUGAAUACAUUAGCAUGGAAUAAUGAAAUAGGACGUUUGAUCGUAUUUUGUUGGUUUCUAAGAUCGACGUAAUGAUUAAUAGGGAUAGUUGGGGGCAUUAGUAUUCAAUUGUCAGAGGUGAAAUUCUUGGAUUUAUUGAAGACUAACUACUGCG